GAUUAAAUGGCUGAAAUAUAGGCAAUAAACUGUAAAUUUAUUUAUAAGAAAAAUUCUUUUUAAUCA
rnacentral:tRNA from 1 species